GCAGGCAAGGUCUCCCCACCUCUCAUCUUCGUCCUCCCGCCCCCCGCCGACGAGAUGACCCACCCCAAGGUCACCCUCACCUGCUUGGUCCACGGCUUCCAACCCGAGAACCUUCAAGUCCAAUGGUUGAAGAACCACGAGAACCUGGCCGAGGACAACUACGUCACCACCCCGCCCCUGAGGGACGGCCCGAAGGAGAGCACCUUCUUCGUCUACAGCAAGAUGACGGUCCUCAAGAGCAGCUGGUUGAGCGGGGACAUCUACACCUGCAUGGUGGUCCACGAAGGGUUGCCCAUGAGGUUCACCCAACGCCAGGUGCAGAGCGGCCCCG